GCCUACUAUAGGGGGGAGCUGCCUGCCUGCCCACGCACCUUGGUGGGUCAGGAUGGCGUGCCAUGGGGCUCCCUCCCAGCGCCCCAGCAAGCUUUCCCAAGCAUGCUGGUGCGUUUUUCCAUGGCCAUGUGGGAAAUUCGACCGAGUCAAAAAUAGUCCACGCCGAAUCCAGGUCGUACGUGUCCCGGUUCUGGCUGGUCCAACGGAAAAAUGUGGGCAUCUCGUAGUGAGCUUAUCCGGCACCAUGACACAUUUGGCGUGCAGCAAGUUCUUUGCUUGUUCCUCAAGGUCCAAGUCAAAAAUCUUGAUGCCUUCGUCCCUUUGGUCGAGGUGCCGGUCUGGCAUCACAGUGGGUAGUUGCGGUCAUCCCUCGGACGUGCCGAGGCAUCCAGUGUGACCCGUUCCGCACGGAAGGUUGUGGCGCUAGGUGAAGCCUUCACGGGCAUAUCCUUAGCACGAAGGGGGCAAGUUCCCAAUCAUCCGGAAGUGCACUAUGGGCGGUUCAUCAUGGUCGAAGCCAAGGCGCGGCCGUGUUUGACGCGAUCAGCAACGUCUCUCCAGUCGCCUCGUCCCUCGGAAAAGUGUGCUCUGUUGAGGUGCCGGCCUGGCCUCACAGUGCCGAGAUGGGUAGUUGUGCGCAUCCCUCGGACGCGCCGAGGCUUCUAGUGUGACCCGUUCGGCACGGAAGGAUGUGGGUCUACGCGUUCCCUUCAGUGGCAUAUCCGUAGCACUGAGGGGCAAGUUCCCAAACAUCCGGAAGUGCACUCUGGGCGGUUCAACGCGGUCGAAGCCAAGGCAAGGCCAUGGUUGAAGCAAUCAGCAACGUCUCUCCAGUCGCCUCGUCCCUCGGAAAAGUGUUCUCUGUUGAGGUGCCGGCCUGGCCUCACAGUGCGGAGAUGGGUGGUUGUGCGCAUCCCUUGGACGCGCCGAUGCUUCUAGUGUGACCCGUUCGGCACGGAAGGAUGUGGGUCUACGCGUUCCCUUCAGUGGCAUAUCCGUAGCACUGAGGGGCAAGUUCCCAAACAUCCGGAAGUGCACUCUGGGCGGUUCAGCACGGUCGAAGCCGAGGCAAGGCCAAGGUUGAAGCAAUCAGCAACGUCUCUCCAGUCGCCUCGUCCCUCGGAAAUGUGUGCUCUGUUGAGGUGCCGGCCCGGCCUCACAGUGUCGAGAUGGGUAGUUGUGGGCAUCCCUCGGACGUGCCGAGGCUUCUCGUGUGGACCGUUCUGCACGGAAGGAUGUGGCGCUAGGUGUUGCCUUAAUGGGCAUAGCCGUAGCACGAAGGGGCAAGUGUCCAAGCAUCCGGAAGUGCACUUUUGGCGGUUGAACAUGGUUGAGGCCAUGGCGCGGUAGUGGUUGAGGCCAUCAGCAUCGUCUCUGCAGUCGCCUCGUCCCUCGGAAAUGUGUGCUCUGUUGAGGUGCCGGCCUGGCCUCACAGUGCCGAGAUGGGUAGUUGUGGGCAUCCCUCGGACGUGCCGAGGCUUCUCGUGUGACCCGUUCUGCACGGAAGGAUGUGGCGCUAGGUGUUGCUCUAAUGGGCAUGGCCGUAGCACGAAGGGGCAAGUUUCCAAGCAUCCGGAAGUGCACUUUUGGCGGUUGAACAUGGUUGAGGCCAUGGCGCGUUUGUGGUUGAGGCCAUCAGCAACGUGUCCCCUGUUGCCUGUCCCUCGGAAAAGUGUGCGCUGUUGAGGUGCCUGCCUGGCCUCACAGUGCCGAGAUGGGUUGUUGCGGAUACCUCGGAAUUGUCGUGUGUUCAUGUGUGGCCUGAUCUGCACGG